GGUCUCCGUGGCUAAGUCGGUAGAACACCUGACUAUGGUGCGGUAGAACUCGGGUUCGAGCCCCGAUGAAGUCA